GAUGAACGCUGGCGGCGUGCCUAAUACAUGCAAGUCGAGCGAACAGACGAGGAGCUUGCUCCUCUGACGUUAGCGGCGGACGGGUGAGUAACACGUGGAUAACCUACCUAUAAGACUGGGAUAACUUCGGGAAACCGGAGCUAAUACCGGAUAAUAUAUUGAACCGCAUGGUUCAAUAGUGAAAGACAGUUUUGCUGUCACUUAUAGAUGGAUCCGCGCCGCAUUAGCUAGUUGGUAAGGUAACGGCUUACCAAGGCAACGAUGCGUAGCCGACCUGAGAGGAUGAUCGGCCACACUGGAACUGAGACACGGUCCAGACUCCUACGGGAGGCAGCAGUAGGGAAUCUUCCGCAAUGGGCGAAAGCCUGACGGAGCAACGCCGCGUGAGUGAUGAAGGUCUUCGGAUCGUAAAACUCUGUUAUUAGGGAAGAACAAAUGUGUAAGUAACUAUGCACGUCUUGACGGUACCUAAUCAGAAAGCCACGGCUAACUACGUG
rnacentral:rRNA from 1 species